rnacentral:rRNA from 1 species
GACGAACGCUGGCGGCGUGCCUAAUACAUGCAAGUAGAACGCUGAAGGAGGAGCUUGCUUCUCCGGAUGAGUUGCGAACGGGUGAGUAACGCGUAGGUAACCUGCCUGGUAGCGGGGGAUAACUAUUGGAAACGAUAGCUAAUACCGCAUAAUAGCAGUUGUUGCAUGACAUUUGCUUAAAAGGUGCAAUUGCAUCACUACCAGAUGGACCUGCGUUGUAUUAGCUAGUUGGUGGGGUAACGGCUCACCAAGGCGACGAUACAUAGCCGACCUGAGAGGGUGAUCGGCCACACUGGGACUGAGACACGGCCCAGACUCCUACGGGAGGCAGCAGUAGGGAAUCUUCGGCAAUGGACGGAAGUCUGACCGAGCAACGCCGCGUGAGUGAAGAAGGUUUUCGGAUCGUAAAGCUCUGUUGUAAGAGAAGAAACGAGUGUGAGAGUGGAAAGUUUCA